UGUGAAGCCCAGGUUGAGCAUCUCCUCCUGGUCCACACAGCUCUGCCACUCCCCGCUCUCCAGGGACGUCAGGUUGCUGCCGCCUGUCUGGUUCUCUUCUACAAGGAAACCAAGGACCCUUGUUUAGAGGAAACAGCUGUCAGUUCCUGUGUUCUUGCCAAGCGCUGCCAACAAGUUUGUGAACGCUCUACUAGGAGUAUGUGGAUGCGUGGAGCUCCGUCUGGUGACGCCUGCAUCCAAGAGAGGGUAGGCUUCUCGGACACUUACAGUAUAAAGCCACGGUGUGUGUGGCGCUUUUGAAAUAGAACAUCUCUUGUUAUAACGCUCAUACACAAUGAAGGUACUAGGUUAAAACAAAUAACACAAAGUGACAUUGGGGGUCAUAACCAGGGGAAUAAUAUGAUCCCUCUCCUACCAAGAACUCCAAGCCCAAAAUACAUUAAAAAAUUCUGAUAGUGUUCCGAUUCGAGCUGAAACAGGGGGUUCCCUUCUUCUAAACCCCUGUUUCGUCUGUUUAUCCUACCAUUUUAGCUGCCCAUUCAGGCAACCAUCGCACUGAACACGAUCCAUGGAAGAAGGGCUCUGUCUCCUACAGUCCGUUACAGGCUUUCCUCCUUGCCCACUAGAGGGGGGUAGGGCAAGUGGGGGUCUCAUAAAGUGAAUCCCUUUUAGAGUGUGACUACGAGCAUGGGACGACUCUACCUGCACACAGGUGGGAGUAGAAGCCUUCCUUCUUCAGCAUGAUGAGCAGCGAGCCCCAUCCCAGCAGCACGGCGGAGAAGAGCAGGUUCUCGAUGACCGCGGUCACGGCCAUCCACCACCGUCUCCGGUACGCUGUGGACAGGCUGGGUGCCAUGCUGGGGAGAGGCAGCCGCCACACCACAGGGUUUACUGACUGAAUGACACUCAGAUCAUAUCAACAACAGUGAUAGUUGCAGUGUAACAGUCAGAAACAGGUUUGAAGAAAGAGGAUGGCUGUGUAAGAGUUAAAUAGUGCAGGUUUAAUGUGUGUUUGCUAAUAACUACUCCUGAUUAAAUGCUCAUCAAGUUAUAUUAAUGACCACAAAGCUAUCUCAUGGUUUGCUUGUUUGUACCCUUCACAAUAGUACCACUUUUCCUAAGUAGUGACAGCAUUAUUCGUAAUGAUAUAAACAGGGGGAGGGGGGGGGGAGGGGGGUCAGGCAGUGACAGAGGGAAUAGGGGUAGACAUAGAUGCACGCCCCCUUCUAACCUUUCCAAGUAGCUGGGGAGAUCAAAUAUCCUGGGCACGAAAAACAUGAGUCUAUGAGCUCAUGCUCACUCACGCAUAAACACACGCAGUCACCAGAACCAAUCCAUAUGCAAAGAAACCAUAAGGAGCUUCCGGUACUGUAUAGUAUGUCAUUUUGGCACAUAUACAUGUGUUCAGAUGUCUGUGUGAAGAGAGUACAAUUACUUCUGUAUGUGAGAUGGAAACUAUUUCAACCCCUAGAAGGCCUCAGGGCAGGAAGGUGACUUUGAGAAAGCAAGUGUGCUUCAGACACACACACAUACACAAACGUAAAAUGUAAAACUGGUUGUUCAGUACAUUGCUAGAUUCAUAGAUGCAUUACACAGACAGACAGACAGACAGACAGACAGACAGACAGACAGACAGACAGACAGACAGACAGACGGACGGACGGACGGACGGACGGACGGACGGACGGACGGACGGACGGACGGACGGACACACACACAGACAGACAGACAGACAGACAGACAGACAGACAGACAGACAGACAGACAGACAGACAGACAGACAGACAGACAGACAGACAGACAGACAGACAGACAGACGGACAGACACACACACACAUACAGUCCACAGACAACAAAAAACAGUAUAGCACUUUUAAAGUAUCAAAAAGUGAGUUACUGGUAAAGGCAAGCUUUUCAGACUGGGAAUGUACUGUCCUCUUUCAGGAAAUAAAGAAACAUUUCAGAACAUGAAUGUACUGAGUGGCUACAGCUCCACAGGAGUUGGACGUAGUUUUAUCUCCCUGAGAGAUGGGGGUGUUGCGGUAGGGCGUAUAGGAUACAAGUGUGGCAGAACUCCUGAUCCAUCUGUUAGAGCGCUCUGAAUGCAGCGGCUGCACAGCAGAAGGCAUACAAGGUCUUCCACCGCUCGCCCCACCUCAGUGUCUGUAGAGCGGGCCACCCAUCAGCCCACCGAGUCACAUGUCAGAAUACAUCAUAGUACCGACGGCAGACACAUCCACGAGAGGUGGACACAAGAUAAGCAGGUGUAAACAUAGAUGUUGCCGUGUCUGAGUCCUAUAGCUGAUUAGCAUAUUCCUAGACACACCCACACAGAAACACCCACACAGACACACCCACCCACCUAGCCCCCCCUACACACGCACGCACGCACGCACGCACACACACACACACACACACACACACACACACACACACACACACACACACACACACACACACACACACACACACACACACACACACACACACACACACACACUUAUUAAUCUUACUUUAACCAUUGUUGAGAUAAAGCAAAAUACUGAUAUAGGCUACUUAUAUACGCAAAGUCGGUGGAGGAAUUAGUCAACAGCCCGUCCAGGAGUCCAAAGGAGCAGGCAAAAAAGCGAUAUCGAUGAGUGCACAGGGACAACAGAUGUGUGCGCACGGACACGGGGAAAGCACAUUUCUCUAUUUGUACUCCAGACCUUGACUAACAGUGUGGCCAGCAGACAGCAGAGAGACGGCCAUAAAGCCACGCGUUCUGGGCGCAUUUAAACCACCGCAGGCUAAACGAGCUGCCCUAACAUAGAGCAGAAUAAAAAUACAGGCCAAGUCAACUUACUUCUUUCCUUUGAGUUAGAUAGUGUCCGCGCUGUAUCCUUGAAUUCCAGUAGAUUUUUUAUUGUGACCAGUCUCUAGGACUCGCUGGUUGACCUAGUGCAAAAAACUUGUGCCGGUCUCACCUCGCUCUCACCAUAUGUCUAUAAAUGGAGCCCGCAGCCCCCCCCCCCCCACACACACACACACACACACACACCCACACCCACACACAGACACACACAUACCACGCAUGCUGGGCGCAAGCGCGCCAAAUCCUUGUAAAGAUCCUAAACCUGCAGCGGUAGUCAGUGUGUGGUACGAGGACCUCCAGUCGUGGAUUGAUCCAGGCGGUCCUUUAAAAGAGUCCUGCGGCUGUCUGAGUCCCAGUAUCGCCAGUAAGUGCAGCCCAGUGUAACGACCCUCCCUCCUCGGAUCCAUGACCCCAAAACCCCCACACUGGAAGAUCUACAGACACGUUUGGUGUGAAAGUCGGAUGAAGGUUUUCUCCCUUAGGUCAGUAACGGUAGGUUGGUUGAGAACCGACAUAUUUAUUAAGAUAUUGUAAGCAAUUACGGUACAGUUAAUGGCUAUUGUUCAGACUAUGUUUUGACCUUGUUAUGCUGUGCGUGAGUUUAGCUGCAGACCAUCUGUUUGAAGUCGAAAUAAAAAACAGGAAUUAUUGGUUA